UGGGGGAUAUUGCACAAUGGGCGAAAGCCUGAUGCAGCGACGCCGCGUGGGGGAUGAAGGCCUUCGGGUUGUAAACUUCUUUUGCUCUGAACAAGGCAUGCUUUUGGGGUUGGUUAAUGGUAGGGGUGGAUUACCGCGGCCUAAUUCGGUGCCACCAGCGGGGGUAAUACGUAGGGCGCGAGCGUUGUCCGGAAUUAUUGGGCGUAAAGGGCUUGUAGGUGGCUGGUUGCGUCUGUCGUGAAAGCUCAUGGCUUAACUGUGGGUUUGCGGUGGGUACGGGCUGGCUUGAGUGCAGUAGGGGAGGCUGGAAUUCCUGGUGUAGCGGUGGAAUGCGCAGAUAUCAGGAGGAAUACCGGUGGCGAAGGCGGGUCUCUGGGCUGUUACUGACGCUGAGGAGCGAAAGCGUGGGGAGCGAACAGG
rnacentral:rRNA from 1 species